AUCACUUCUUGGCCUUUUGGCUAAGAUCAAAUGUAGUAUCUGUGAUUCCAUAACUGAAGAAACAGACAGUUUCUUCUGUAAUUUUUUACUUGCUUUCUGUGAAUUAAGGGACUUAACAACCCACUAUAAUGGUUGGACUAUCCUGGACAUUUUAAAAAAUGACCCAUCUUUGAAAUGUCUUAUUUUU